AGUUUACAAGGCACGUAUAAAUAUCCGGGAAGGCCGCGUGCACGUUCUCUUUCCUUCGCGAGCCUGACACAGACAGGCGUCAGUAAGUCGCCAUGCCGGUUGCCAGGAGUUGGGUUUGUAGUAAGACAUACGUCACCCCCAGACGUCCCUUCGAGAAGUCACGUCUCGACCAGGAGUUGAAACUCAUUGGCGAGUAUGGCCUCAGGAACAAGAGAGAAGUCUGGCGGGUGAAGUUCACUCUGGCCAAAAUCCGCAAAGCUGCCAGAGAGCUGCUCACUCUGGACGAGAAGGAUCCUAAGCGUCUCUUCGAAGGUAAUGCUUUGCUCAGGCGUCUGGUGCGCAUUGGUGUGCUGGAUGAGGGCAAGAUGAAGCUCGAUUACAUUUUGGGCUUGAAAGUGGAGGACUUCUUGGAGAGGAGGCUGCAGACUCAGGUCUUCAAGCUUGGCCUGGCCAAGAGCAUCCACCAUGCUCGUGUGCUCAUCCGUCAGAGGCACAUCCGCUGACCAUGUUUAAACUCCUCCCGGUGAGAGGGAAUGAAAUAUUCUGCAAGGUCAAUUCGGUGAUUAAACCGUAUACCUUUGCUUGUAAAAAAAAAUAAGCCCAAAAACCCAAACUUCCCAAGACGUCUGGGGUGCUUUAUCGCACAAAACAGAGUCUGCCAGGGUGCGUAAGCAGGUUGUGAACAUCCCCUCCUUUGUGGUGAGGCUGGACAGCCAGAAGCACAUCGACUUCUCUCUCCGCUCUCCAUACGGUGGUGGCCGCCCUGGACGUGUCAAGAGAAAGAACGCCAAGAAGGCCCAGGGUGGUGGUGGAGGCGGUGAUGAUGAAGAGGAGGAUUAAACCAUUCCUCCCAGGGGUUGAGGGAUUCGGCAGUGCUUGCUUUUUCUCUUCUCCCUCAAGUUUUCAAUAAAAAGUUUAUUCCAAA